AUUAAACGCUGGCGGCAUGCCUUACACAUGCAAGUCGAACGGCAGCACGGGGGCAACCCUGGCGGCGAGUGGCGGACGGGUGAGUAAAGCAUCGGAACGUAUCCUGGAGUGGGGGAUAACGUAGCGAAAGUUACGCUAAUACCGCAUAUUCUGUGAGCAGGAAAGCAGGGGAUCGCAAGACCUUGCGCUCUGGGAGCGGCCGAUGUCGGAUUAGCUAGUUGGUGGGGUAAAGCCUACCAAGGCGACGAUCCGUAGCGGGUCUGAGAGGAUGAUCCGCCACACUGGGACUGAGACACGGCCCAGACUCCUACGGGAGGCAGCAGUGGGGAAUUUUGGACAAUGGGCGCAAGCCUGAUCCAGCCAUGCCGCGUGAGUGAAGAAGGCC
rnacentral:rRNA from 1 species